UUAGAUUUCUAAUAGAUGUGUUAAUUUGAAAUCAAAGAUUGCCAGGAGAUAUAAAUAAUUUCAAUAAUCUAACGUGGUAGCUGAUUUUCUUGCAAAGUAGGGGCAUCUUUCUUCGACUACUUGUAUUUGGUUUAAUAAUUUUUCCUUUAAAAUUUACAUAAAAUUAAUUUUAAUAUGUAUGAUUUAACGAUUCGUCGCCCAUAUUAUUUCUAAUAUCUUUAUCCGUUUUUUUUUUUUUUAAAUUCUUACACAUUCCUACGUAUCAUUUAAGUGCUCGAUAAUUAGUUUUUGAUACAACUCGUAGCGUAACAUCAGGAUGUAAAAUUUGAAGGAAACUAUGCAUCAGAACGAAAACAUUGAAAGCAAAGUGGUGUUAGAGAGUCGUAUACAUUAGCUGGUUGUCAUAUUAUUAAUUUUAUUUCUUAGUUAGUCAUGAUGGAGUGGAACAAAAGAUCUUCUAAACCCGCAUCAUGUUGGCGACUUAA
rnacentral:lncRNA from 1 species